rnacentral:rRNA from 1 species
UACGUAGGGUGCGAGCGUUGUCCGGAAUUAUUGGGCGUAAAGGGCUCGUAGGCGGUUUGUCGCGUCGGGAGUGAAAACCUUGGGCUUAACUCAGGGCUUGCUUUCGAUACGGGCAGACUAGAGGUAUGCAGGGGAGAACGGAAUUCCUGGUGUAGCGGUGAAAUGCGCAGAUAUCAGGAGGAACACCGGUGGCGAAGGCGGCAUCCUGGACCAAUAUUGACGCUGAGGAGCGAAAGCCAGGGGAGCAAACGGG